CCUUUGUUGUCCGCGAUCGUUCGACCGUGAAACUUUUGGACGCCUGUCUUGGCGCGUGCAGGUGCGUGCACAUGCAGAUGACGGCGUCCACCGUGGCCACGAGCGUUAAUUGAAACAACAGUUAGAGCCGGUGAAUCAUUUAAUUAAGCGGAUUCCGAACGAGUCGCGCGACGCCGCGUCGUCUGGCGUCAUUUCGAUCUAAUUACCACGCCGGGACUAAGUGGCUCCGCUGGAUUCGCUGAAUGCCUCGCGACGAGCGUCUUUUUAAGUGCCGACGGUUACAAGUGCUAUGUCUGCCUCCGCGUUAUCCCUUUCUCCCUCCUUUUCCUGUAGAAAAGCGGCAAGACGGGAUACGUGGGUUAGUAUAUGAACAUGUAAUUAUUGGUUUUACCUGUUUAGCCUGAUCCGUUCUUUUGUCUGGCUUUAUUUAGGAUUGUGUAGUUAACGCGGUGUGAAAAUUGGUUGAGUAAAUGGGAAUGGUGAGUGAUUGAAUUAUGCGAAAUAGUUUGGUAAAUUUUUGCGAGAGGCGAUAGAUAGUAAUUAGAUAAUAAAUAUGUAAAUAUAAGAUCGUUCAUAAGAAGCGGAGAAU